AGAUUUCAGAACUGUGGAGUCAGUUCUCAGCUCCAUCUCCACUUCCAUCUUGUUCCCAGAUUCCAGGACAAAUUCACUAGUACCAUCAUCAGGAUCAGGUUCAUUAUCAUGCUCAGCAUUGAUCCCCCUGUUAAGCAUGUCAACAUCUGCGGAAUCAUCAGGAUCAGGUUCUAGGCAACCAACAGAGCUUUUCUUGGCAACAUCAUCAGGAACAGGCUCAGAAAAACCUAUGGUAUUCUGCUUUGUAGAUGCUACAAAACCUGCUGAUCCUGAUGUCACAAUCAUCACAUCAAUAGGCAUGGCAUCAUCAUCAUC
rnacentral:lncRNA from 1 species